UGGUUGAAGAACGGCUAGGACAGAAUCAGGCUACUUAUUAAACACUGUGUCACGUAGUCUACACCGAAUAGUGCUUUAGUACAUCUGAAAAAAAAAGUGAACGGAGUAUCUUCGAAGAACUCAGAAUGCUUUCUACACAGGCUGACAGCUCUGGGAGUACCGCUACGGCCAACCCAGUACCGCUAUUAGUGCCCAAUAUCCAGGAGUCCAGCCCAACCCAACGAGAAAGAACAGCGGUUGAAUUGGAAGGCGUAGACACACCCUUACUUGAGAAGAAAAAACCAAUUAUCAGUAAUGGUAGUCUUUUCCAAGGUUAUAUUCUAACAAAUGGAAGCCUAAAGCCUCAAUAUUUAGCCGGCGAGCCAAAAGAAAAUGCAAAUAGCUCCACAGAAAAGAAAACGAGAGUAAUUAUUAAAGGGUUCUACAACUACGAUGUUCAAGUAGCCAUCGUAAAGACAUUGCUGGUCCACAGCGACCAGCAGAAUAAAGAAAUUGAACGGGAGUUUCGAAUAUUGAAAGAACUAGAGGUCCAUGAAAAUUUUAUUCGCUAUUUCACUCAGGAAAAAGACUUAUACUAUGUGUACCUUGCAACAGAACUGUGCCUGUGUUCUGUGGCAGAUCUUUUGGAUCCACCCCUCGAAACGAAAAUCCCCAUGAAAGACGAUAUUCUCAAAAUACCAGCGAAAGAAAUCCUACGACAGGCAACGAAUGGACUCAAUUACUUGCAUAAAAACCACUUUAUCCAUCGCAACAUCAAGCCAAAUAAUUUUCUUAUUAAAGAGAUUAAUAAAACAGGUGAAAGCUCUUGCCGAUUUGUGGUAAAAAUAACAGAUUUUCGCCUGUCGAGAAAGUAUGAUCCUCAACAAGAUUUGGCGUCAUCGGGACCUGCUGCAUCAGGAGGAUGGGAAGCACCGGAAAGCAGAGAUACGACAAAAAACCUCAGCAAAAAAUUGGAUGUCUUCAUUCUCGGUUGUUUUUAUUACUAUGUCCUAACCGCAUGGACGAGCGACCAAAAGCCCAGACAUCCAUUCGGCGAUGAAAGUAAUCGUCGGACAAACAUUCAAGAUCCACUUUAUUCAAUAUUGAAAAAUGGCUUUCUGUUCGCUACCAGUGAAAAUAUCAAGGACAUGAAAAAGGCGGAAGACCUUAUAAAUUGGAUGUUGAAGUUCAAGGAGGACGAACGUCCAACAUUAGAAAAUGUUCUUGAUAAUGUUUAUUUCAAACCUUCCGAAGAUUACAAGAUAUAUGCUGAUCAAGGUGCUGAUCAAGAUGUUAAACCCGGUCUUUGUGUUAUCUUUAACCAGCAAGAAUUUGAAGAUCCGAAACAGAACCGUGAAGGGAGCGACAAGGAUGAAGAAGCGUUAAAGAAUACAUUUAAAAAGCUUGGUUUCGAUUUUGAAGUUCACCAAAAUCUAACGUCGGAUGAUUUGAAAUCUGAAAUCAACGAGCUGGCCAACAAAAGAGAUUUCAAGAAUUAUGGUUGCCUAGUUGUGUGCCUUUUGUCUCAUGGAAUUGAGAAUGCAAUCUUAUGUUACGAUGGCAAAUUCGUUAACAUAAAUGAAUUAAAAUACGAGUUCUCUUCGUAUAAGUGCCCCAGUCUGUAUGGCAAACCCAAAAUCUUCAUCGCCCAGGCUUGCCAAGGAAACCUGAUACAACAGGAAAUGGGAAGAGAUGUUCUUUUUUACUCUCCACCGACCUUCAUUUCAAAGCUACUGUCCGUUCCUCGUGUCAUUUACUCGCAUUUAACCGGUACAUUGGAAUUAUCACGAUCCCUAGUUCAAUUGGCAAAGGAGGACAUAACAGCCAGCAAUUACAAAAAGGAGUUACUAGAAAAGAAAAGUCAGGACAGCGCUCAAAGAAAUCCGUCACUUAUGGAUUUCCUUACAAUCAAAUCAACUCUACCUGGUUUCAUUGCCUACCGGGAUCCCGAGGGAGGCAGCUGGUUCGUUCAAGCUCUCUGUGAAGUUCUGUCUGAUGAAUAUUUGGAGAAGGAAGCGGGAACAUCACAAAAGGAUCUUACAGACUUACUUAAAUGUGUUCAGAACGAAAUUAACACAAAUUCACAAGAGGACCUUUGGCAAACUAUGCAAUGGGAAGCAAGCAUAAGUAAAAACAUUCGAUUUCAGAAAGGUGUCACCGAAGGCACUGACAUUACAAUGAAUGAUAGAAAAGAUAUGGGCGCAUUUAACAUCGAACAAUAAUUGUUGAGAGAUGCAAAUUGAUUUUAAUGAGCUCUACGUGUAUCAAAUCUUCUAAAGUUCGUAAAUCGUUUUCUUUGAAAAACAGAAUGUUUGAAGCCAAAAUCAUUAUGAGCAUUUAUGAAACUUCAAAUACAACCAAUAUGAAGGGGGACUUAAAACCUCGUUUCGGCCACCUCCUCUACUAUAAUACCGCCUUUGCCUGAUAAUUGGAGUUUCUAAACUGAAUAAGUGUAAUAAUUUGCAGGGUGG